rnacentral:tRNA from 1 species
GGAGACAUGGCCGAGUGGUCUAAGGCGCCGUCUUAAGGUGAUAUCCCGACCUCUUCACAAGGGCCGGGAUUGAAUCGGCGGUCUUCGGGCGUGGGUUCGAAUCCCACUGUCUUCA